rnacentral:rRNA from 1 species
AUUGAACGCUGGCGGCAGGCCUAACACAUGCAAGUCGAACGAGUGGCAGACGGGUGAGUAAUGUCUGGGAAACUGCCUGAUGGAGGGGGAUAACCACUGGAAACGGUCGCUAAUAACGUAUACCCUCGGAUGUGCCCAGAUGGGUAUGGCUAGUAGGGGGGGUAACGGCUCACCUAGGCGACGAUCCCUAGCUGGUCUGAGCGGAUGACCAGACACACUGGAACUGAGACACGGUCCAGACUCCUACGGGAGGCAGCAGUGGGGAAUAGUGCACAAUGGGCGCAAGCCUGAUGCAGCCAUGCCGCGUGUAUGAAGAAGGCCUUCGGGUUGUAAAGUACUUUCAGCGGGGAGGCGUUACCCGCAGAAGAAGCACCGGCUAACUCCGUGCCAGCAGCCGCGGUAAUAC